rnacentral:snoRNA from 1 species
UGAUGGGGGGAGGACAACGUAAUACCUUGACCGGGUCGUUUCCGUCUUGGCGACGGCUCGAACAUGAUGCUUUUUCAUGUCAUAGUUACACUGACCAUCA